CGAAUGCUGACAUAAGUAACGAUAAAGCGGGUGAAAAGCCCGCUCGCCGGAAGACCAAGGGUUCCUGUCCAACGUUAAUCGGGGCAGGGUGAGUCGACCCCUAAGGCGAGGCCGAAAGGCGUAGUCGAUGGGAAACAGGUUAAUAUUCCUGUACUUGGUGUUACUGCGAAGGGGGGACGGAGAAGGCUAUGUUGGCCGGGCGACGGUUGUCCCGGUUUAAGCGUGUAGGCUGGUUUUCCAGGCAAAUCCGGAAAAUCAAGGCUGAGGCGUGAUGACGAGGCACUACGGUGCUGAAGCAACA
rnacentral:rRNA from 1 species